CUUCAUUGUUCCAAAUCCACACAUGCGCCGGCACGUGCAGCGGGGUGCCCCGAAAGGGGUUGCUGUUCGGGGCGCAUGGAGGCCCAAC
rnacentral:sRNA from 18 species